CGCUUCCUGCGGCGUGCCUGGAGCACCUCCGCCCCGAGCAGCGCCUGCUGCCCCGCUGGAUGCGGCCCUGGAGCACUCAUUGUCCUGCUCUUUGGGUCAGGAGCAAAGCGAUGCUCGGAGGCUUUGGUCCUCAGCACAGGUGUGAUGCAGCCCGGUGUCCGUCCCGAGGGUGCCCUGGGCACAGGCUGCAGCCGUGGUCCCUCCGGUGAUGGUCACACCGCAGCAGGGAGGUGGUCACGGCGAGAUUUCUGCAAUUCCCCUUUGUGUAUGCCCAUGCCCAAUUAACCAGUGUGCCAUUUAACCAAGCCUGGACGAUGCACUGCCUCCAUGAUGCUUCUCCAGAAGAGUUUUCAGCUUUGUUCUCCUCCGAUAGUCCAACUGGACUGCAGCUGGGGUUUCCCUCCAGCUGUGUGGAAAUAUGCUUAAGGCUGGUCCACGAAGGGCCUGCGAGGGCUCGUCCCUGCCUGCAGCAUCCCUGGGGCGUGGAGCAUCCCUGCCCAGUGCUCCCGGCCCCCUGCGGGUCCUGUCCUCCAGCUCAGGUGCUGUGUGCCUGUGUGUCUGUGUAGGGUUUUAUCCAAGGGUAGUGCCCUGUUUCCCUGCCAGACCCUAGUUAUCUUCCCAUGGAGGGUUCAACCUGUCCCUGCUCCAAAGCAGUGGCUGAUGUGAUAUGACCAAAGGGAAGAAAUUUGUUCAAAAAUGAAUGUUUUGGGUUGUGUUUUCAUCUGUCUGCUG